rnacentral:rRNA from 1 species
AACGCGAAGAACCUUACCUGGCCUUGACAUCCAGAGAACUUAGCAGAGAUGCUUUGGUGCCUUCGGGAACUCUGAGACAGGUGCUGCAUGGCUGUCGUCAGCUCGUGUUGUGAAAUGUUGGGUUAAGUCCCGCAACGAGCGCAACCCUUAUCCUUUGUUGCCAGCGGUUCGGUCGGGAACUCAAAGGAGACUGCCGGUGAUAAACCGGAGGAAGGUGGGGAUGACGUCAAGUCAUCAUGGCCCUCACGGCCAGGGCUACACACGUGCUACAAUGGCGCAUACAAAGAGAAGCGACCUCGCGAGAGCAAGCGGACCUCAUAAAGUGCGUCGUAGUCCGGAUUGGAGUCUGCAACUCGACUCCAUGAAGUCGGAAUCGCUAGUAAUCGUAGAUCAGAAUGCUACGGUGAAUACGUUCCC